rnacentral:rRNA from 1 species
GAUUCUGGCUCAGGAUUAACGCUGGCGGCGUGCCUAACACAUGCAAGUCGAACGGACGUCUUCGGACGUCAGUGGCGAACGGGUGAGUAACGCGUAGGUAAUGUGCCUCUGCGCUGCGAAUAACAGCCUGAAAAGGCUGCUAAUACGGAAUGGUCCUCUCGGGGGGCAUCCCCCCUUGAGGUAAAGAUUUAUCGCGCGGAGAUCAGCCUGCGUCCUAUUAGUUAGUUGGCGGGGUAACGGCCCACCAAGACGACGGUGGGUAACUGGUCUGAGAGGAUGAACAGUCACACUGGAACUGAGAACGGUCCAGACUCCUACGGGAGGCAGCAGUGAGGAAUUUUGCGCAAUGGAGGGAACUCUGACGCAGCAACGCCGCGUGAGUGAUGACGGCCUUCGGGUUGUAAAGCUCUGUCGAGAGGGACGAGUAGGGACGGUACCUCUCAAGAAAGCCCCGGCUAACUAUGUGCCAGCCGCCGC